UGGCCUCAAAUCAGGUAGGACUACCCGCUGAACUUAAGCAUAUCA
rnacentral:rRNA from 6 species